GGGAGUAGUUCAGUGGCAGAACGCCAGCUUCCCAAGCUGGAUGUCGCGCUGAAAGCCUCACCCACCA
rnacentral:tRNA from 1 species